UGCAUUAUCUAUUCUAGAAGC
rnacentral:piRNA from 1 species